rnacentral:rRNA from 1 species
UGCCCUUGUAGUCAUAUGCUUGUCUCAAAGAUUAAGCCAUGCAUGUCUAAGUAUAAGCAAUUUAUACAGUGAAACUGCGAAUGGCUCAUUAAAUCAGUUAUCGUUUAUUUGAUAGUUCCUUUACCACAUGGUAUAACUGUGGUAAUUCUAGAGCUAAUACAUGCUUAAAAUCUCGACCCUUUGGAAGAGAUGUAUUUAUUAGAUAAAAAAUCAAUGUCUUCGGACUCUUUGAUGAUUCAUAAUAACUUUUCGAAUCGCAUGGCCUUGUGCUGGCGAUGGUUCAUUCAAAUUUCUGCCCUAUCAACUUUCGAUGGUAGGAUAGUGGCCUACCAUGGUUUCAACGGGUAACGGGGAAUAAGGGC